GUCCUCCCCUGCAGUCUAGGAUGUUUCAUGCUGGAUUUUGCCUCUUGCUGGUGUUCUCUAUGCAACGUCGAAGCGUGGAUUAAGGCAUUCUCCCUCUCUAUUUUUCAUAAUUUAGACGAUCACAGAGAAGAGGGUUAGUGAUUGAUCUUAAACUACAAAGAAACUGUACAAUGUCAGAGCUACGGAUAAAAUAAAAAGAAUAUCUCUAUCUAGGAAAGAAAAAAAUUCUAAAGGGGCAUCUAGAAGAAAGAGGAACAGAUGACAUGUGAAGAACACAGACUAAUCCCUGAAAGAGUAUCAAGAUGGAACUGGCAGAUAUGAUGCCGGACUUAAAAGACACCUCCCCCCACUGGAGCAGCUGUUUUUUUCCACCUAACACAUAGCCAAGCAAAUUGAAUUCCCUAAAGAAUGAGCUGGUGAACCCUGAAGUGAGAUCUGCUAAUAUUAUGGCUAACAGAAGAAAAGAGAAAUAAUUCUAGACUAAAUGAUGCAGAUAUCCCUCAAAAGGAACAAAAGAAUUCUUCUGUCUUGAGAUUGUGUGAAUCACAAUAUUGAGCAAAAAAACACCCUAUGAAAGACAUGCCAAGGACUGAAGACCAUCACCUGUCCCCACCCGCAAAGAGAAAAAUAUGUCAAAUAAUGAAAUGCUUUGCUCAAACUCUUCGGUAUUAAUUUAGGACAGAAACAUCACUGACCAAUACCUGGAGAUUAUUGGUAAAUUUAGAGAGAGAUUUCUAAUC